GAUGAACGCUGGCGGCGUGCCUAAUACAUGCAAGUCGAGCGAACGGACGAGAAUCUUGCUUCUCUGAUGUUAGCGGCGGACGGGUGAGUAACACGUGGAUAACCUACCUAUAAGACUUGGAUAACUUCGGGAAACCGGAGCUAAUACCGGAUAAUAUUUUGAACCGCAUGGUUCAAAAGUGAAAGACGGUCUUGCUGUCACUUAUAGAUGGAUCCGCGCUGCAUUAGCUAGUUGGUAAGGUAACGGCUUACCAAGGCAACGAUGCAUAGCCGACCUGAGAGGGUGAUCGGCCACACUGGAACUGAGACACGGUCCAGACUCCUACGGGAGGCAGCAGUAGGGAAUCUUCCGAAAUGGGCGAAAGCCUGACGGAGCAACGCCGCGUGAGUGAUGAAGGUCUUCGGAUCGUAAAACUCUGUUAUUAGGGAAGAACAUAUGUGUAAGUAACUGUGCACAUCUUGACGGUACCUAAUCAGAAAGCCACGGCUAACUACGUG
rnacentral:rRNA from 1 species